CAUCACACUUGCAGCACCGAGCGACCUGGGGACCUUGCCAUUUCCACAUGUAUCUACCUGACUUCUUGCUCUGAACCAUGUCACAACAAACAGAGCCGUAUCCAGGGAAGGGAGGUGUUUCUCCGUAGUACAGUAGGACAUGGGGUUGAAAUGUGAACUCUACGAAUAACCUAAAGAGCCUUAGGUUGAAGAAACCCCCUCUGCUGGUGCUUCAUGCUGGAUUAAAGUCAGUGCUCCUUUACACACAGAUAUUCAGUGGCUUUUGUCUUCCUAGCGUCAGCAGUAACGUCAGAGGAUUGUAUCCAAGGAGCUAAAUGUGCAGGACCCAGGGUCAGAGCAGCUGAAUACACCAACCUCAGAAAACACAGACAAUGAAUUGCAAAUGACACUCAAAACAAAACGAGGAAAAAAAACCUUCACACAGAAAACUACAAAAGAACUCUACAGACACUGAAUUGGCUUUCUGUACACACUGAUCCUGCUUAACUGUGUGUGGUAACUAGCUGAACGUUUCAGAUACUCAUGGCUACAAAAUAAAGGCUUUUUUCUUUUUC